rnacentral:rRNA from 1 species
UACGUAGGGACCGAGCGUUGUCCGGAAUCAUUGGGCGUAAAGAGCGUGUAGGCGGCUAUUUAAGUCCUGCGUGAAAUCCUGCGGCUCAACCGCAGACGGUCGUGGGAAACUGGAUGGCUAGAGUGCGGGAGAGGAGAGUGGAAUUCCCGGUGUAGCGGUGAAAUGCGUAGAUAUCAGGAGGAAUACCGGUGGCGAAAGCGACUCUCUGGACGGCAACUGACGCUGAGGCACGAAAGCGUGGGGAGCAAACAGG